GACGAACGCUGGCGGCGUGCUUAACACAUGCAAGUCGAACGAAGUGGCGAACGGGUGAGUAACGCGUAAUCAACCUGCCCUUCAGAGGGGGACAACAGUUGGAAACGACUGCUACUACCGCAUACUGAAGGAGGGGAUUGCGUCUGAUUAGCUAGUUGGAGGGGUAACGGCCCACCAAGGCGAUGAUCAGUAGCCGGGCUGGGAGGGUGACCGGGCACAUUGGGACGGAGAGACGGCCCAGACUCCUACGGGAGGGAGCAGUGGGGGAUAUUGCAGAAUGGGCGAAAGCCUGAUGCAGCGACGCCGCGUGGGGGAUGAAGGCUUUCGGGUUGUUAACCUCUUUCGCUAUCGAACGGGUAGGUGGAGAAGAAGCGCCGGCUAACUACGUGCCAGCAGCCGCGGUAAUAC
rnacentral:rRNA from 1 species